AGCGAACGCUGGCGGCAGGCCUAACACAUGCAAGUCGAACGAACCUUUCGGGGUUAGUGGCGGACGGGUGAGUAACACGUGGGAACGUGCCUUUAGGUUCGGAAUAACUCAGGGAAACUUGUGCUAAUACCGAAUGUGCCCUUCGGGGGAAAGAUUAAUCGCCUUUAGUGCGGCCCGCGUCUGAUUAGCUAGUUGGUUGAGGUAUUGGUUCACCAAGGCGACGAUCAGUAGAUGGUCUGAGAGGAUGAUCAGCCACAUUGGGACUGAGACACGGCCCAAACUCCUACGGGAGGCAGCAGUGGGGAAUCUUGCGAAAUGGGCGAAAGCCUGACGCAGCCAUGCCGCGUGAAUGAUGAAGGUCUUAGGAUUGUAAAAUUCUUUCAACGGGGACGAUAAUGACGGUACCCGGAGAAGAAGCCCCGGCUAACUUCGUG
rnacentral:rRNA from 1 species